rnacentral:rRNA from 1 species
UGGGGAAUAUUGCACAAUGGGGGAAACCCUGAUGCAGCGACGCCGCGUGAACGAAGAAGGUAUUCGUAUCGUAAAGUUCUGUCCUAUGGGAAGAUAAUGACAGUACCAUAGAAGAAAGCUCCGGCUAAAUACGUGCCAGCAGCCGCGGUAAUACGUAUGGAGCGAGCGUUGUCCGGAAUUAUUGGGCGUAAAGGGUACGCAGGCGGUUUAAUAAGUCGAAUGUUAAAGAUCGGGGCUCAACCCCGUAAAGCAUUGGAAACUGAUAAACUUGAGUAGUGGAGAGGAAAGUGGAAUUCCUAGUGUAGUGGUGAAAUACGUAGAUAUUAGGAGGAAUACCAGUAGCGAAGGCGACUUUCUGGACACAAACUGACGCUGAGGUACGAAAGCGUGGUGAGCAAACAGG